UACGCGGGCAACUAACUAGUCAAAUUUUAUAUGUGUAACACCAAAACCAAACAUCUCUUUUUUGUUCCAGCAAGCCUCCUCGCAUCUUAUAGAAAACAGAAGAAAACCAAGCAUCUCUAUUUGUUCCAUCGUCCGAACCCAAUGCCUCGAAAAGCCUUAAACCCCGACCACAGCCUGUCCGAGUCACCCGACCGUUUUCCAUCUUCACUCCCAACCGUUUCAUUCCCACCUAACUUACUUUUUCCGAUUUCGACUCGAUUCGUCAUUCCAAACAGGACACCGAAUGCACGAUCGAUCCCACAAGCCGCAGCCGCCGGAGGCUGGCGAGGGCGCCGGCGGCGGGAACGUGGAUCGAGUGCUCUUCAAGAACCUCGUCGAGAUGGUGCCGCUCGUCGAGUCGCUCAUGGUGAGUUAGCCGGCGCCGCGCGCAGAUCUCACUGGCGCGCUCCUGCUGAGCUCGUGUCGGUGCGCUGCCUGACUGUUGUUCUGUGUUGGUUCUUCCUGGGUGCAGGACCGGAGGGUCAACUCGGCCUACUCGCGACGCACUUCGCUAGUCUACACGCCGGCGCCGCCCAAGAAGGUUUGUUACCGCCUUCUAUCUUCCCUAAUUUACCCCUAUAUCUUUCUAUCUGUUCCUUUGCUAGUUUGUGGAUUUUAUUCUUUCAUCGGUUGCUUACGUUCCAAUCUACAGUUCUACACUUUUCCUGUUUUUAAUUGCGGAUUCUCUUAAGCUGUCUGUCUCCGAUGUCAUAUACGAUUGAUAACAAAAAAAAAAAAAAAGGUGCAACCUAAGGCUGAUUUCCCUCUUUCAGAUUAGACCACCUCACAACGACAGUUUCCCUAGAUCUUGUAAGCAUCUCAGCUUUCACAUAUUUUGUAGCCUACUGUUGAGGAAUGGCAGCUGAGUCUUCAGUGUAUGUAAUUCUUUUGUCAAACUACCAUGACAAUUGCUCUUUGGAUUUGGUAGUGAUGAACCUGAGGAUGGAUGCUUCGUUCUUACAGGCGAGCGAAUUGGAAAGUGUCAAAUUGCCACAGAGCGUAUCGGCCAAAAAGCGGAGAGACCCUGGCGAUGUAUCCAAGAAGAGCACCCCUGAUUCUAACGGCGACAACGGCUUGGUUGUGCCAUUGUCUCUAUCGGGUGCUGAAAAUAAGCCCAAGGAUGAUGUUGCUGGGCUGCGCGAGCAGGUCGAUUACCUGCAAAAGAAACUGCUCGAGAAGGAGGAGGCGCUGAGGUCCGCGGAGAGCCUCGUGACUGAGAUGAACGCGGCAUAUGCAACCAUCGAUGAACUCCGACGCCUGGUGUCUGACAAAGAAGCUUUGAUCAGAUCUACCAAUUCUCAGUUGCAUGAUGCAAAGGUGAAAUGCUGCCGAUUAUGAUUCAUUACUAUUCUGAAUUAACAGGCGUGCUUAUACCCAUAAAAUCUGUCUAACUUCGAUAUUUUCCUUGCAACUCUGACAUGAAAAGCCAUGAGAUAACAAACUACACUUACCAUCAAAGUUGUCACACUGUGAAACCGUGAAUGAAAAAACCAUGUUCUUUGCAACUGUGUACAAGUAAAUAUGUAUAUAUUAAACACAGUUACAAACUUAAGUGCAAAUGUAAUGUUCCUGUACGCAAAAUCAGAGUUCCUAGAAACUGGCGACUACUUCUAUCAUGAAACUUGACAAAGUUCUUGCUUAUAUUUGUGAUGAGAAAUGUUUUUGUUCCAUAAGAAUUGCCCAAGUAAACCUAUACUGUUAUUAAACCAUAUAAUCAGCCUAGCUUGUAAGUCUAGUUUGAUGUAAUGCAUAAGCUACUUUUACCUUGUAAUCGGCCUUCUAAAGGCGACUACUGAGAACAAUGGUUAGAAAGUCUGUCACAAUGAUUCAUGCACAAAGUCAUAGCUGUUACAUUGUUGACUGAUUGUUUAAUGUCGUUACAAAGAGUUUAUGAAAGUUUCUCAUCCUUAUUUUGAGGCUACUGCAAAUUAGCUUUGCUUGCUGUCUUGUACUGGAUUGAAUCAACAUUUGUGCAAUUCCAGCUUACCCUUUGGUUCAUACAUACUGUUGCUUUUGCGUAUAUAAAUGGUUAUACAUAUUUCCUCUUCAGAUGAUUCACUUAUACUGAGUUUUCUACUUACACAUGUUAUACUAUUUUUUAUUUUUUGGGUAAGGUAAGGAUGCUAAAAUUAAAUGAUUGUUGAUUUUAGUGACGGGAGUAUAUUUUAUUUUGGACCUGACAUUUUCUUUUUCUUCCUACAGAUUAUGCUUGCAGACAAGCAAGCAUCUGUAGAGAAACUGGAAUGGGAGGUAAAGAUGUCAAAUAAAAAGGUCGAAGAUCUUCAAGGAGAUGUGUCAAAUAUGGGAUUCGAGAUAAGCUCGUUGAUGGCAUUUUUCGAUAAAAUUUCAGAGAAUCUUUCAGGUGACUCUUAUGAUGACACAGUACCAUCAUCAUAUGAAUUAGAGGCAAUUCAAUCAACGGUGAGCAUGCAUCCUUGGAGCAACGUUUGGCCUGUUUGAACCAUUAAAUGUAUAACUAAAGCUAGUGACUGAGUGCAAAUUAAUGUUAUGGCGUUUUAAGUGGUCUAAUUAGCUUGCCAUUCCAGAGAACCAACUUUCUUGUCAUAGAAUUGCAUUGUCUAAAAUGUUUGCUACAUUAUCUAAAUUGUCAAAUAAACAGUCUGGGGGUUUGUAUCUGUGGUUGAUUGCUAUGCGCUGAUACUCCUUACUACAUAACAAUAUGAGGUUCUUUGGAAUUUGGGAAGAAAUUGUUUACAAGGGUUAAUCAAUUGGAAGUAAUGUUUUGAUGCUACACAGGGAGUUUGUAUUAUGAUUCAGUAUACAUUACAAUCGGAUAUUGUUUUUCUCUUGCAAUGUUAGUAUGGAUGCCGAAAUGGAAAUAUUUAUGCAAAGAAAAUUGGUUAGAUGCUUUGCACUAAAUUUGACUAUGUCAAACUAAUAGCUAUGCAUCAAAACAUUGACUCAGAGUGAAAUUGACAAGAUCGAGGUCGACAAAAUAGAGCAGGAGAGGAUUACCUAUGGUGAAGCUCUCGCGGCAGCGAGAGAGAACCCUGACGAGGAGCACUUGAAUAUAGCUGCCGAGGCAAGGUCAAGGCUGCAGGUCCUUGUACUAUAGUGGUGGCCCCCUUCUAAUUCUAGUGUAUGUAUGAUAAUGUUGAACUGCUGAUGUAAUUUUACCUUGUUGGCUUGAGUUGAGGCGCUUGUGAAAUCGUUCCAGGGGUAAUGGAACGAGCACUGUAUCUUUUUUUUUUCCUGAGGUCUGCAUUUUUUAUCAUGAAGCUUGAGCUAUAGUUAGAUUUUUUGUGACGGUUAUCAUCUCAAGAUUUAAACCUAUGGUUGGAACUGCUUAUGUAAAUUGUUCUUGAGCCUAAGGUAUAGGCAAUAGCUUUUUAACAGUGUAUAAUGGGGUCUGUUUGGUAUAGUUUUGAAGCUACGUAUGGGCAUGGCUAAAGUAAGCUGAAAUUAGAAGUCAAUCUCUAGGUUUCUUUUGUAGUUUUUUUCCAACCACGUUUCUCACCACGACUUUCAUUUAGAAACGUAGAAAUUGGAUCAGACUAGCUUAGUUUUCCAUUUAUACUAAAGCAUAGUGUCAUGGAUCAAGGGGUGAAUCAGUAAGGAAAUAGUAAGAUUUAGUAUGGUUCUUUGUUUCCUUUGCAAAGUAGUUACUUUGAAUCAAUCGAUUUGUGGAUUUACAUUCUGGUUGUGGAUGAGAGGACCAUUUUGUCCAGGUGUGUGGAAGAAAAUGGUAGGGCCCUAGCGAGGAUGAAACUGGAAGCUAUGGCGAGGGAGAUGGAGACCUUUGGGGAUGGACCUGUGUUGUCUGGAAAUGAGGAGAGAAGAGGUGGAAGUCUCAACCGUGAUUCGGGAGGAACGAGAGGGGAAACCUCGGGAGGAGAAUUUGUAAAUCAUGGUCAGGGAGGAGGAAGGGAUUCUCAACAGCAUCUUCCGAAGUUUGUGUUCCCUAAAUUCAUUGGUGAGGAUCCUGCGAUUUGGUUACAUAGAUGCGAAGACUAUUUUACUAUGUAUCAUGUCCUUGGCUGCAUGAGAGUUGUCUCUGCCACUAUGCAUAUGGAAGGGAAUGCCUCACGAUGGAUGUAGAUUUUGAAGUUGAAGGGUGAUCUGGGAGAUUGGAACUACUUUUCCAAAUUGGUGUUGGACAAAUUUGGAAUUGAUGAAUACCCUCGAGCGAUGAGGAAGCUGCAUCAGAGAAGUAGUGUGGAGGAGUAUAUUUAGGGCUUGUUCGGUUAUUCCCAAAACACAUGGAUUGGAUAGGAUUGGAAAAAAAUGAGAAGAGGUUUGACUUGUUUGGGUUUCAAACCCAUCCAAUCCCACUCAAUCCACAUGGAUUGAGAGCUAACCGAACAAGCCCUUAGGAGUUUGAUCAAGUUAGAUAUGCUACUUCGGUGCACAACCCACAGUUAGGAGAAGUCUUCUUUGUUGCUUAGUUUAUGAAGGGGUUGAAGACUGAGAUUCAAGGGCCUAUAAUGUCACAGCUUCCUAUGACUGUAGACAGGGCUAUCAGAUAUGGGCUAAGGGUGGAAGAGUUGGGAAGGUAGGAUUAGGGAACAAAGGAAUAACCGGGGGUAAGGUAGAACCGAAGGUAGUAGUGGAACAAGGUUGUUGGAGUAAGGAGAGGUAGGUAAAGGAGUAUAGGAGGUUGAAUGGGUUAUGUUAUAUUUGUGGGGAGAAGUUUGAACCAGGGCAUCAAGCUAGUGUCCUAAGAGGGUGCCUCAACAGUUGAAUGUGCUUACCACUGAAGACUUGGAGAUGGUUCUGACUGAUGACAUGUUGGGACAGAUAUCAGAAGCGGAAGUUCAUGAGGAACAUGAGGAAGAGCUUUAUAAGCUGUCCUUACAUGCAUUGAGUGGGGCAGAAAAUUCUAAAUGUAUAAGGUAUGGACCUCUGAUUCAAGACAAUGUAAUGCUAGUGUUGGUGGAUUUAGGCAGUACUACCAGCUUUAUCAGUCAGAGUAUGGUGGAUAAUUUGAAACUGGAAACUGAACCUUGUGAAGCAGUGUUAGUUAAGAUCUCCGGUUCCCUCGACCCAUCGGUCAACGAGCGCACUAGGGAAAAGCCUCUAGCAACUGGGGCCAUCGAUCAGCAGGAGGAGAAAGGAAACGUAUUCCCUGGAAGGACCCGCCCCCGGAUGAACCCCACGGCACCAAGCCCGGGGUCGGGCGUGGCGGAGCUAGAUAGAGGGCUGGGCAAACCGAAGGGAAACCACUCGAGUGGAUCCCUUGCCCGGCCCAAGAUCAACCUGCCAUAUAUGAUUAGCCACAUUAACUACGCCUGGCGUCGAGCCACGGCAGAGGCACCGGUCCGCCUCCCACUCAUGGCCUACGAGCCCCUCCGGCUGCAAUGCACCCAUAACCUACGAACCCUUUGGACUGCGGCACAUUUAUGGCUCGUGCACCCCUGGCCUGCUGCACACUUAUGAUCUAUCGGGACUAGGCCUGAGUGCGUUAACCGCCUAAAGGGCACAACUAUACAAGUCGUGUCGAGGCCUUGGCUACCAAGGCCAGGGAUCAGCAUAGCUCGAAUGAUGGCGCUCGAGCCCCACGCUGCAUGUGUCGUCCUCUAUAAAGAAUAUAAGAUAGCCAUGCGACCCUGAGGCUCACGGUCGGACGUGGCUUCGCCAGGGUAGAACGCUCAGUUUUACCAUCGCCCGGGGACACCUUCUUAAGGAAGCCACCCCUGGCUGACCCCCUCCUUGGCCUAUAAAACGAAGAGGUUGGUCAGACGGAGGGACAAACACACACACAAACAGGGAUGCCCAGAUGUAAAGACGACAGACCGACGGGGGAUGGAGGACGCACCGACGAGGAUCUAGAGGCCGGAGCCCCACCACUAAGCCAAGACUUAGUUAGGACUCAACUCUGUAGCCCUUAUGAUGAAGACAUCCACACUACUGAUACAUCUAUGCCAAUACAAGUACCAAUUUCUGGUCCCAUUACUCGCGCUCGUGCUCGUCAACUCAACCAUCAGGUGAUUACACUCUUGAGUUCAUGUCCAACAUAUUUAGACCAUGGAGACCCGUGCACUCUUGUUUUGCUUAGGAACUAGGGAGAAGACCGAAAGGGAAAAUGAUUUGAACAUGCUGGAUUCGGACUGCAGAAGAACACCAACUUGUAACGGUCACCACGGUCACAUGCGGGCUCGGAUUGGAAUGUUCAAGCACAACAUGGAAAGCUUAUCAAGUCUACUUUCAUAUGGAUCCGUAAUUAUAGUCAUAUCUGUUCUGAGGCCGGCAUAAUCAUUGUUUCCUUACCGAGACAUUUCCUGCCUUUUCUGCCCAUGGUGCUAUGUCACCCUAUUUUGGCCCAAUGGGUCGUGUAUCAAGUUGGGUCCAUUAGGGACGCAUCCUAGGGUUGCAGCAUGACCCCAAUACCCUUGUGGUCGUCCUCCCAUAUUUAUAAACCCCCUAGCCGCCACCAAGAACAGCGGGUUUUGUUUAGACCAAGUUUAGCUCUCGCUACUUGCUUGUAAGCGCGCGUGCUGGUUCAGCCGCCCGUCUUCUUGUCUUCGGAACCCCACCAUAUUGGAAUUUGAUUGUUAAACCUACAUUUACAUCUGGUAAUUCAGUACUUGUUCUACUUGUUCUUGCUAGUUCUUCGAUUGCUUACAGGACAAGUGCCCUAGUGGCCACGGUGUCACGCUCCACAAGAUCGUGACAGCCAUAGGAGGUGGUGUAUCGGUUGCUAAGGCGCAGCGUCUUUGGAAGGCUGUAGUCGGGUCGUGAAUGUCGUCUCCUCCACCAAUCGAGUUAUCCCACACCCUUUCAUCGAAAGAUCGGGCAUUCACCCAACGGGUGCACAUCAAUUGGUAAUCAGAGCAAGGUUUAUCGGUGAGAGAUUUACUUUUCUUCGCUAUUUUCUUAUCUUCUAUAGUCCAGAAAAAGCCAAAAAAAUAGUAGAUUAGUUUUACCGCAGUCCUAUAUAUCAUUGAGCCUUUACUAGUACUACUUAGCUAGGGCUUGUUGAGUUUUUGGUUGUAUCAGUUGUGUCGUGUUGCUGGUCUUAGUUUAUUCCUUUAGAGUUUUGAGUUCUACCACGUUUUGGUCACCACGAGAUCCACCAUCACCAUAAACAUCUCUGGCUCAUUUUUGCCACCACGGAUACAUCUCAUGUCGGAUUUGGAAGUUUAAAUACAAUCUGGAAAGCUUAUCUUAUCUUCUUUCCAACGGAUCUGACGUUGCCUCAAAAUUCAUUCUGAGCGCUCCGCAAUCAUCAUAGAGAUUUCUGGACUUUCUAUAUUAACAAGAUUUGUUAAAUUUGAUUUAAAGGGGUUGUUAGCAAUAUCCUUAUUGUUUGGGUUGUCAUAGUAAAAAAGGGUUUAGGCCCCUGCAAAAAAAAGAAGAAUAAAAAAAAGAAAAGAAAAGAAAAAAGGAAAAGAAGAAGAAAGAAGGGGGCUGAAUCUCUAAAUCCGUUGUUUCUCUUUGUGCUGUGCUAGUUGUUCUUUUUCAGUGACUACCUUUGUGCCUAGGCUCACGUCUCUAGCAUGGUUUAGCCUAGGACCAGCACAGUACCACCGUUGAACGAUUAUUCAGCUUGCUUUUGUAACUAACGUGGUACUAGUGUAUUCCUUGCUUCAGCCCACCUACAACUCUACAUAUUUCGACUACAGUUUGACAUGUCGUGUUGCUGCGGUACCGAUACACUUAUUCCACGGUUGCGGACUUGUUGGUUGCUGACCCCUCCUGUUGAGCAAGGUAAGAAUUGGUAAGAGCUUGUGUGGCAGGUUGAGAGUGAGCGCCUUGCGGUAGCUACAUCCUAAUAGUUGUAGAGUUUUUAUUCCUUCACUUUUUUAUCUUGUUGCCUCUAUUCGUCUAACCAUGGCAGGAUUGGAGGUUGAUGAUGCUUCUCGUAAUAUGCCACACUCUCCUCGCACCAAGGGUAUCAUACAACACUUUGUAAGGCUGGUGAAGAAUGAAAGGGAAAUAGGCUUACACCUUUUCCUAUAUGAAUUUUGGUGGUUGAAUUGCCCAACACAAAUUAAUUGGACUAACUAGUUUGCUCUAGAUUAUGAGUUCUACAGGUGCCAAAGGUUCAACACAAACCAAUAAAAGUCCAAGAAAGGGUUCAAAUAAAAAGAGCAAAAGACAACCAAAGGCUGCCCUAGUCUGGCGCACCGGACAGUGUCCGGUGCACCAGAGAGUUCCACUCCGAACUUGCCACCUUCGGGAAUUCGGGGAGGCCGCUUCGCUAUAAUUCACUGGACUGUCCGGUGUAGCAACGGACUGUCCGGUGUGCCAAGCGGAGCAACAGUCGUCUGCAACGCUACAGUGAAACGCUACAGUGUUGGGCAAUUCACCGGACUGUCCAGUGAAACGCUACAGUGAACGCUAUAGACAGUGAAUAGUGACUGUCCGGUGCACCACCGGACUGUCCGGUGGCCCCGUUGUCAGAAGCUCCAACGGUCGGAACCCAACGCCCUAGUGACGUGGCUGGCGCACCGGACAAUGUCUGGUGCGCCAUACGACAGAGGCCCUCACCAACAGUUCUUUUGGUGGUUGGGGCUAUAAAUACCCCCAACCACCACACUUCAAUGCAUCCAAGUUUUCAGCCUUCAAACCUCAUACAAGAGCUCUAGACUUCAUUCCAAGACACAAACAAAGAGAUCAAAUCCCCUCCCAAGUCCGGAAUCACUCCAAACAAAUUAGUGAUUAGAGAGAGACUUUUGUGUUCUUUUGAGGGGAGAAUUGGCUGUGUACCAUUAGAAGAACACAUGUUUGGCAAUGUACCAUUAAAAGAUUUCUUCUUUGCUUUGUACCACUGAAAGGUUACAACGUUGAAGGUUUAUAGCAUUUCGUCACCUUCGUUAGGGAAUACUAACGGUUUUAUUUUUCUUUGCCUAAAAAUGAGUUAUGAAAUGGCUCUUUUGCCCCUUGCCUUAGUAAACUAGUAAGCCUGCUCGUUCUCAACCUCACGUACGCUCCCAGCCCAGGAGUCCGCUCCUCCCAGGCACAAGCAAAGCAGCCGCUCGCGGAGCUUCCCGGCGACCCUCCCGACAGUGUGCUCUCUGCUAGUGGCUCCAGCUCCUUCGCCCUCUCCUUCACUCCAUGGUGAGCACCCCUCUCAUCUCCCCUCCCCUCCCUUUCCUCUCCCAUACUGUAAGUUCAUAUUCUAACCCUAAUUUUUGGAGAAUUUUUUGUAGUGCUCAUUAAUCUGAAAUUGGUUGGGGAUUUGAGCUGGGAUGGAUCCUGCUUGUGUUUCAGAAGGGUAAUCUCCUCUCGCAUUCUAAAAAUUGUUCUAAUUUUUUUGGUAUUUUCAUGUACGAGUACAAGCUUAUGGUUGUCUGAAGUGAAUUAAUGGGAUCUAUCUUGUUGAUUGGUCCUUAAAAUUUUUUCUUUGUUCCGUUUGUGUUCGGUCUCUAUUUCAGGGAUAAUUCAAAGAACCUGCAUAAAAUAGAUGUUACCGUCAACUCUUAUUUCGCCGUUCUUGAUGGUAAAAAGGUGUACAAUCGGGACAGAACAAUAAAUUUGGUUGUGAAUCCAGAACACUAUACACUUAUUGAUUUAGAGAAAGAUGUGGAUUCAUAUUUCAAAUGGGGUAGCUGCCAAAAGCCAAUUUUCUGGGUUGUUGAAAAGGGUGACAAAUGGCAAUGUAAGUUGACUUCAGAUGCUCAGCUUAGUGACCUGGUAAGUUCAUUCGAUCUGGUGAAGUUAUUUAUGACAAUGGGAAGAUGUAAGGAGGGAGAGGAGACACUGCAUGUUGUGACCGAUGUGGUGGGCAAGGAGAUGCUAGCUGCAGCAUAUCCGGUGGGCAAGGAGAUUGAUGUAGACAAUAUUGUCUAUGAAGAGAUGCAUGUAGAUGAGGUGAUUGGCACAACAAACAAUGGAGAGGAGGGUAUGCAUGAAGACAUGGACAAGCAACCAGAAUGGAGAGAAGUGCCUGAAUAUGGUCAAACAACUGCAGGGGCACCAGUGGCUCAAGAAGAGGAAAAAGAACACUUUAUGACAGCUGGGUGUGAUCCUGAUGGAGAUGAGCCGAUAGGAGCAAAUGAAGAAUGGAGAUACUUCAAAUUUGUUGAUGGUAAAAAUGUUCAACCAGUGAAUCCAGUGGAUGUUCAGACAAGAAGGAGGGCAAGGGCUAUUCCAGAAUUUGAUUUAGAAAGUGUCCCUGAUGAUGAGGCCGGUUUGGUAGAUGAUUAUGUUGUGCCCCAUACAACAUAUGACCAUGAGAAUCCAGUAAUCAAAGAGGGAGACACAUUUGAAGACAAGGUUGAAUUUCUUUGAUCUGGAAGAGUCUUGCCCGGGAAGGAUUACAAAGACCUUCCAGUUGUUGAUCUGAUGGAUAAAAUUAGAGAGAAGAUCAUGGAAAAGAUUGCCACAAGGCAAGAUAUUGCCAAUAGACUUGAAGGCCAUAUCCUUCCAAGUGUGCUACAUGAGCUGAACAUGAAAAGUAGAGGGCUUAAUUAUGAUUUUAGCAAAAGUGGGUUACUAGCAGCCGAGAUUUCUGGAACAACAAAUGAAGGGAAGACAUGGAGGUAUGGUGUUGACCUUAACAAAAGAACUUGUGGCUGUGGACAAUGGGAGGUGUCUGGAAAACCAUGCACUCAUGCUAUCUUUUCACUUGGAAAAUUUAGACAGAAAGAGUUAAAAAUCGAGGAUUUUGUGGAUGAUUACUACUCAGUAGAGAGGUUUAAACUUGCUUAUCAAUUUGAGGUCAUUCCAAUGGGUGACAAAUCUCAAUGGCCAAAGAAUGACCCUGGUUUUGAAAUGGUCCCUCCACCAUUAGAAAGGCCUGCUGGGAGACCAAGGAAGCAGAGAAUUAAGGCUAGUGGAGAGCCAGGAAAAAGAGGUCCAUAUCUGAUAGUCACCUAGAGGGGGGGUGAAUAGGGCGAAACUGAAAUUUACAAAUAUAAACACAACUACAUGCCGGGUUAGCGUUAGAAAUAAAAACGAGUCCGCGAGAGAGGGUGCAAAACAAAUCUCAAGCAAAUAAGAAGUGAGACACACGGAUUUGUUUUACCGAGGUUCGGUUCUCGCAAACCUACUCCCCGUUGAGGAGGCCACAAAGGCCGGGUCUUUUUCAACCCUUUCCCUCUCUCAAACGGUCCCUCGGACCGAGUGAGCUUCUCUUCUCGAAUCACUUGGGAAUCAAACUUCCCGCAAGGACCACCACACAAUUGGUGUCUCUUGCCUCAAUUACAAGUGAGUGUUUGAUCUCAAGAAAGAAUGCCAAAGAAAAGAAGCGAUCCAAGCGCAAGAGCUCAAAUGAACACUACAAAUCACUCUCUCUAGUCACUAAGGCUUUGUGUGGAGUUGGGAGAGGAUUUGAUCUCUUUUGGUGUGCUUUGCAAUGAAUGCUAGCUCUUGUAUAGUGGUUGGAAGCUGGAAAACUUGGAUGCAAUGAAUGGUGGGGUGGUUGGGGUAUUUAUAGCCCCAACCACCAAACAUGACCGUUGGUGGAGGUUGUCUGUCGUAUGGUGCACCGGACAGUCCGGUGUACACCGGACAUGUCCGGUGUGCCAGCCACGUCACCAAUGCCGUUGGGAUUCGACCGUUGGAGCUUCUGUCUUUUGGGCCCGCCUGGAUGUCCGGUGCACACCGGACAUGUACUGUUCAAUGUCUGGUGUGCCAGUAUGGGCGUGCCUGACUUCUGCGCGCUUCUGGCGCGCAUUGAAUGCGCCUGCAGGUGACCGUUGGCGCGAAGUAGUCGUUGCUCUGCUGGUUCAUCGGAUAGUCCGGUGUACACCGGACAGUCCGGUGAAUUAUAGUGGAGCAGCCGCUGCGUUUUCCCGAGGCUGGCGAGUUCCGGAGGCCGCUCUUCCUUGGAGCACCGGACACUGUCCGGUGUACACCGGACAGUCCGGUGAAUUAUAGCGGAGUGCCUCUGGAAAUUCCCGAAGGUGGCAAGUUCGAGUUGGAGUCCUCUGGUGCACCGGACAUUGUCCGGUGGUGCACCGGACACUGUCCGGUGUACACCGGACAGUCCGGUGCCCCAGACCAGAGGUGCCUUCGGUUGUCCCUUUUGCUCUUUUGUUGAAUCCAAUACUUGAUCUUUUUAUUGGCUAGGUGUGAACCUUUUACACCUGUAAAACUUAUACACUAGAGCAAACUAGUUAGUCCAAUUAUUUGUGUUGGGCAAUUUAACCACCAAAAUUAUUUAGGAACUAGGUGUAAGCCUAAUUCCCUUUCAAUCUCCCCCUUUUUGGUGAUUGAUGCCAACACAAACCAAAGCAAGUAUAGAAAUGUAUAAUUGAACUAGUUUGCAUAAUAUAAGUGCAAAGGUUGCUUGGAAUUGAGCCAAUAUUAAUACUUACAAGAUAUGCAUGGAUCGUUUCUUUAUUUUUAACAUUUUGGACCACGCUUGCACCACAUGUUUCGUUUUUGCAAACUAUUUUGUAAAUCCUUUUCAAAGUUCUUUUGCAAAAAGUCAAAGGUAAAUGAAUAAGAUUUUGCAAAGCAUUUUCAAGAUUUGAAAUUUUCUCCCCCUGUUUCAAAUGCUUUUCCUUUGACUAAACAAAACUCCCCCUAAAUGAGAUCCUCCUCUUAGUGUUCAAGAGGGUUUUGAUAUAUCAUUUUUGAAACACUACUUUCUCCCCCUUUUGAACACAAUAGGACACCAAAUGAAAAUACUCUUUGAAAAACUAAGUUUUUGAAAUUGGUGGUGGUGCGGUCCUUUUGCUUUGGGGGGCUCAUACUCUCUCCCCCUUUGGCAUGAAUCGCCAAAAACGGAAUCAUUAGAGCCCUCGAAGUACUUUCUUCCCCUUUGGUCAUAAAUAAAUGAGUUAAGAUUGUACCAAAGACGAAGUCCUUUUGCUCUCUCCCCCCAAAGAUGGAGAGUGGCUUGGAGCGACAACGAAGGAUGAGUUACGGAGUGGAAGCCUUUGUCUUCGCCGAAGACUCCAAUUUCCUUUCAAUACAUCUAUGACUUGGUUUGAAAUAGACUUGAAAGCACAUUAGUCAUAGCAUAUGAAAGAGAUAUGAUCAAAGGUAUAUAAAUGAGCUAUGUGUGCAAUUUUAGCAAAAGAAAUUGCGCGAAUCAAGAAUAUUGAGCUCAUGCCUAAGUUUGUUAAAAGAUUGUUCAUCAAGAGGCUUGUUAAAGAUAUCGGCUAAUUGAUCUUUAGUAUUAAUGUAAGAAAUUUAGAUAUCUCCCUUUUGUUGGUGAUCCCUUAAAAAGUGAUACCGAAUGGCUAUGUGCUUAGUGCGGCUAUGCUCGACGGGAUUAUCCGCCAUCUUGAUUGCACUCUCAUUAUCACAUAGCAAAGGGACUUUGGUUAAUUUGUAACCGUAGUCCCGCAGGGUUUGCCUCAUCCAAAGCAAUUGCGCGCAACAAUGGCCUGCGACAAUAUACUCGGCUUCGGCGGUAGAAAGAGCAACCAAAUUUUGCUUCUUUGAAGCCCAAUACACCAAGGAUCUUCCCAAGAACUGGCAAGUCCCCGAUGUGCUCUUCCUAUUGAUUUUACACCCCGCCCAAUCGGCAUCCGAAUAACCAAUCAAAUCAAAUGUGGAUCCCCUAGGAUACCAAAGCCCAAACUUAGGAGUAUAAGCCAAAUAUCUCAAGAUUCGUUUUACGGCCGUAAGGUGAGCUUCCUUAGGGUCUGCAUGGAAUCUUGCACAUAUGCAUACGGAAAGCAUAAUAUCCGGUCGAGAUGCACAUAAAUAGAGUAAAGAACCUAUCAUCGACCGGCAUACCUUUUGAUCCACGGACUUACCUCCCGUGUCGAGGUCGAGAUGCCCAUUAGUUCCCAUGGGUGUCUUGAUGGGUUUGGCAUCCUUCAUUCCAAACUUGCUUAGGAUAUCUUAAGUGUACUUCGUUGGCUUAGGAAGGUGCCUUCUUGGAGUUGCUUUACUUGAAAUCCUAAGAAAUACUUCAACUCCCCCAUCAUAGACAUCUCGAACUUUUGUGUCAUGAUCCUACUAAAUUCUUCACAUGUAGACUCGUUAGUAGACCCAAAUAUAAUAUCAUCAACAUAAAUUUGGCAUACAAACAAGUCAUUUUCAAGAGUUUUAGUGAAUAAAGUAGGAUCGGCCUUUCCGACUUUGAAGCCAUUAGCGAUAAGGAAAUCUCUAAGGCAUUCAUACCAUGCUCUUGGGGCUUGCUUGAGCCCAUAAAGCGCCUUAGAGAGCUUAUAGACAUGGUUAGGGUACUCACUAUCUUCAAAGCCGGGAGGUUGCUCAACAUAGACCUCUUCCUUGAUUGGUCCAUUGAGGAAGACACUUUUCACGUCCAUUUGAUAAAGCUUAAAGCCAUGGUAAGUAGCAUAGGCUAAUAAUAUGCGAAUUGACUCAAGCCUAGCUACGGGUGCAUAGGUUUCACCGAAAUCCAAACCUUCGACUUGGGAGUAUCCCUUGGCCACAAGUCGAGCUUUGUUCCUUGUCACCACACCAUGCUCAUCUUGCUUGUUGCGGAAGACCCAUUUGGUUCCUACAACAUUUUGAUUAGGACGUGGAACUAAAUGCCAUACCUCAUUCCUAGUGAAGUUGUUGAGCUCCUCUUGCAUCGCCACCACCCAAUCCGAAUCUUGAAGUGCUUCGUCUACCCUGUGUGGCUCAAUAGAGGAAACAAAAGAGUAAUGCUCACAAAAAUGUGCAACACGAGAUCUAGUAGUUACCCCCUUAUGAAUGUCGCCGAGGAUGGUGUCGACGGGGUGAUCUCGUUGGAUUGUUUGGUGGACUCUUGGGUGUGGCGGCCUUUGCCCUUCACCCUCCUUGUCUUGAUCAUUUGCAUCUCCCCCCUUGAUCAUUGUCGUCAUCUUGAGGUGGCUCAUUUGCUUGAUCUUCUACUUCAUCAACUUGAGCUUCAUCCUCAAUUUGAGUUGGUGGAGAUGCUUGCGUGGAGGAGGAUGGUUGAUCUUGUGCAUUUGGAGACUCUUCAGAUUCCUUAGGGCAUACAUCCCCAAUGGACAUGUUCCUUAGUGCGAUGCAUGGAGCCUCUUCAAUACCUAUCUCAUCAAGAUCAACUUGCUCUACUUGAGAGCCGUUAGUCUCAUCAAACACAACGUCACAAGAAACUUCAACUUGUCCAGAGGACUUGUUAAAGACUCUAUAUGCCCUUGUGUUUGAAUCAUACCCUAGUAAAAAGCCUUCUACAGUCUUAGGAGCAAAUUUAGAUUUUCUACCUCUUUUAACAAGAAUAAAGCAUUUGCUACCAAAGACUCUAAAAUAUGAAAUGUUGGGCUUUUUACCGGUUAGGAGUUCAUAGGAUGUCUUCUUGAGGAUUCGGUGUAGAUACAACCGGUUGAUGGCGUAGCAAGCGAUGUUGACCGCCUCCACCCAAAACCGAUCCGAAGUCUUGUACUCAUCAAGCAUGGUUCUAGCCAUGUCCAAUAGAGUUCGAUUCUUCCUCUCCACCACACCAUUUUGUUGAGGGGUGUAGGGAGAAGAGAACUCAUGCUUGAUGCCCUCCUCCUCAAGGAAGCCUUCGAUUUGAGAGUUCUUGAACUCCGUCCCGUUGUCGCUUCUAAUUUUCUUGAUCCUUAAGCCGAACUCAUUUUGAGCUCGUCUUAAGAAUCCCUUUAAGGUUUCUUGGGUUUGAGAUUUUUCCUGCAAAAAGAAUACCCAAGUGAAGCGAGAAUAAUCAUCCACUAUUACAAGACAAUACUUACUCCCACCGAUGCUUAUGUAAACAGUCGGGCCGAAUAGAUCCAUGUGGAGUAGCUCAAGCGGCCUGUCGGUCGUCAUGAUGUUCUUGUGUGGAUGAUGGGCACCAACUUGCUUCCCUGCUUGGCAUGCGCUACAAAUCCUGUCUUUCUCAAAAUGAACAUUGGUUAGUCCUAAAAUGUGCUCUCCCUUUAGAAGCUUAUGAAGAUUCUUCAUCCCAACAUGGGCUAGUCGGCGGUGCCAGAGCCAACCCAUGUUAGUCUUAGCAAUUAAGCAUGUGUCGAGUUCAGCUCUAUCAAAAUCUACUAAGUAUAGCUGACCCUCUAACACACCCUUAAAUGCUAUUGAAUCAUCACUUCUUCUAAAGACAGUGACACCUACAUCAGUAAAGAGACAGUUGUAGCCCAUUUUGCAUAAUUGAGAUACAGAAAGCAAAUUGUAAUCUAAAGAAUCUACAAGAAAAACAUUGGAAAUAGAAUGGUCAGGAGAUAUAGCAAUUUUACCCAAUCCUUUGACCAAACAUUGAUUUCCAUCCCCGAAUGUGAUAGCUCGUUGGGGAUCUUGGUUUUUCUCGUAGGAGGAGAACAUCUUCUUCUCCCCUGUCAUAUGGUUUGUGCACCCGCUGUCGAGUAUCCAACUUGAGCCCCCGGAUGCAUAAACCUACAAAACAAUUUUAGUUCUUGACUUUAGGUACCCAAACGGUUUUGGGUCCUUUGGCAUUAGAAACAAGAACUUUGGGUACCCAAACACAAGUCUUGGAGCCCUUGUGUUUGCCCCCAACAAACUUGGCAACUACUUUGCCGGAUUUGUUAGUCAAAACAUAAGAAGCAUCAAAAGUUUUAAAUGAAAGACUAUGUUCAUUUGAUGCACUAGGAGUUUUCUUCUUAGGCAACUUAGCACGGGUUGGUUGCCUAGAGCUAGAUGUCUCACCCUUAUACAUAAAAGCAUGGUUAGGGCCAGAGUGAGACUUCCUAGAAUGAAUUCUCCUAAUUUUGUCCUCGGGAUAACCGGCAGGGUAUAAAAUGUAACCCUCGUUAUCCUGAGGCAUGGGAGCCUUGCCCUUAACAAAGUUAGACAAUCUUUUAGGAGGGGCAUUAAGUUUGACAUUGUCUCCCCUUUGGAAGCCAAUGCCAUCCUUGAUGCCAGGGCGUCUCCCACUAUAGAGCAUACUUCUAGCAAAUUUAAAAUUUUCAUUUUCUAAGUUAUGCUCGGUAAUCUUAGCAUCUAGUUUUGCUAUAUGAUCAUUUUGUUGUUUAAUUAAAGUCAUGUGAUCAUGAAUAGCAUCAAUAUCAAUAUCUCUACAUCUAGUGCAAAUAGAAGUGUGCUCAAUGGUAGAUUUAGAUGGUUUGCAAGAUUUUAAUUCUACAACCUUAGCAUGUAACAUGUCAUUCUUAGUUCUAAGGUCGGAAAUAGUAGUAUUGUAAACAUCAAAAUCUUUAGCCUUAGCAAGUAAUUUCUCGUUUUCAAUCCUAAGGCUAGCAAGAGAAAUGUUCAAUUCUUCAAUCCUAGCAAGUAAAUCAUCAUCAUUAUUUCUAGAAUUGGUAAUUGAAACAUUACAAACAUGAGAAUCAACCUUAGCUGUCAAAUUAGCAUUUUCAUUUCUAAGGUUGUCUAUUGUCUCAUGGCAAGUGCUUAGCUUACUAGACAAUUUUUCACAUUUCUCAAUUUCAAGAGCGUAAGCAUUUUUAACCUUAACAUGUUUCUUAUUUUCCUUAAUUAGGAAGUCCUCUUGAGAAUCCAAAAGGUCAUCCUUUUCAUGAAUAGCACUAAUUAAUUCAUUUAAUUUUUCCUUUUGUUCCUUGUUAAGGUUGGCAAAAAGGGUACGCAAAUUAUCUUCCUCAUCACUAGCAAUAUCAUCACUAGAAGACUCAUAUUUAGUGGAGGAUUUAGAUUUAACCUUUUUCUUUUUGUCGUCCUUUGCCAUGAGGCACUUGUGGCCGACGUUGGGGAAGAGGAGUCCCUUUGUGACGGCGAUGUUGGCGGCGUCCUCGUCGUCGGAGGAGUCCCUAGAGCUUUCGUCGGAGUCCCACUCCCGACAAACAUGGGCAUCGCCGCCCUUCGUCUUGUAGUACCUCUUCUUCUCCUUUCUUCUCCCCUUCUUGUCGUCGCCCCUGUCACUAUCACUUGAUAAUGGACAUUUAGCUAUAAAGUGACCGGGCUUACCACACUUGUAGCAAACCUUCUUGGAGCGGGACUUAUAGUCUUUCCCCCGCCUUUGCUUGAGGAUUUGGCGAAAGCUUUUGAUGACAAGCGCCAUUUCCUCGUUGUCGAGCUUGGAGGUGUCGAUGGGUGUUCUACUUGAUGUAGGCUCCUCCUUCUUUUCCUCCGUCGCCUUGAAUGCGACGGGUUGAGCUUCGGACGUGGAGGGAUCAUCAAGCUCGUUGAUCUUCCUCGAGCCUUCGAUCAUGCACUCAAAACUUACAAAAUUCCCGAUUACUUCCUCGGGAGUCAUUAGUGUAUAUCUAGGGUUGCCACGAAUUAAUUGAACGUGAGUAGGGUUAAGAAAAAUAAGUGAUCUUAAAAUAACCUUAACCAUUUCGUGGUCAUCCCAUUUCUUGCUACCGAGGUUGCGCACUUGAUUCACCAAGGUCUUGAGCCGGUUGUACAUGUUUUGUGGCUCCUCCCCUUUGCGAAGCCGGAACCGACCGAGCUCCCCCUCGAUCGUCUCCCGCUUGGUGAUUUUUGUGAGCUCAUCUCCUUCGUGUGCGGUUUUGAGUACAUCCCAAACCUCCUUGGCGCUCUUCAACCCUUGCACUUUGUUAUACUCCUCUCUACUUAGAGAGGCGAGGAGUAUUGUUGUUGCUUGAGAGUUGAAGUGCUCGAUUUGGGCCACCUCAUCCUCAUCAUAGUCUUCAUCCCCUACGGAUGGUACCUGUGCACCAAACUCAACAACAUCCCAUAUACUUUUGUGGAGUGAGGUUAGAUGAAAUCGCAUUAAAUCACUCCACCUAGCAUAAUCCUCACCAUCAAAUGUUGGUGGUUUGCCUAAUGGGACGGAAAGUAAAGGUGUAUGUUUAGAAAUGCGAGGGUAGCGUAGGGGAAUCUUACUAUACUUCUUGCGCUCUUGGCGCUUAGAAGUGACGGACGACGCGUUGGAGCCGGAGGUGGAUGUUGAUGAAGAGUCGGUCUCGUAGUAGACCACUUUCCUCAUCUUCUUUUUCUUGUCCCCACUCCGACGAGGCUUGUGAGAAGAGGAUUUUUCCUUCUUCUCUUUGUGUGAAGGAGAUUUCUUCUCCUUCCCUUUGGAGGAGUCCUUCUUCUUAUCCUUCCCUUUUAAGGAGUCUUUCUUCUCCUUUCUCUUGGUGCGGGACUCUUCCGAUGAAGCGCUCCCGUGGCUUGUAGUGGGCUUUUCGCCGGUCUCCAUCUCCUUCUUGGCGUGAUCUCCCGACAUCACUUCGAGCGGUUAGGUUCUAAUGAAGAACCGGGCUCUGAUACCAAUUGAUAGUCGCCUAGAGGGGGGGUGAAUAGGGCGAAACUGAAAUUUACAAAUAUAAACACAACUACAAGCCGAGUUAGCGUUAGAAAUAAAAACGAGUCCGCGAGAGAGGGUGCAAAACAAAUCUCAAGCAAAUAAGAAGUGAGACACACAGAUUUGUUUUACCGAGGUUCGGUUCUCGCAAACCUACUCCCCGUUGAGGAGGCCACAAAGGCCGGGUCUUUUUCAACCAUUUCCCUCUCUCAAACGGUCCCUCGGACCGAGUGAGCUUCUCUUCUCGAAUCACUUGGGAAUCAAACUUCCCGCAAGGACCACCACACAAUUGGUGUCUCUUGCCUCAAUUACAAGUGAGUGUUUGAUCUCAAGAAAGAAUGCCAAAGAAAAGAAGCGAUCCAAGCGCAAGAGCUCAAAUGAACACUACAAAUCACUCUCUCUAGUCACUAAGGCUUUGUGUGGAGUUGGGAGAGGAUUUGAUCUCUUUUGGUGUGCUUUGCAAUGAAUGCUAGCUCUUGUAUAGUGUUGGAAGCUGGAAAACUUGGAUGCAAUGAAUGGUGGGGUGGUUGGGGUAUUUAUAGCCCCAACCACCAAACAUGACCGUUGGUGGAGGCUGUCUGUCGUAUGGUGCACCGGACAGUCCGAUGUGCCAGCCACGUCACCAAUGUCGUUGGGAUUCGACUGUUGGAGCUUCUGUCUUCUGGGCCCGCCUGGAUGUCCGGUGCACACCGGACAUGUACUGUCCAAUGUCUGGUGCGCCAGUAUGGGCGUGCCUGACUUCUGCGCGCUUCUGGCGCGCAUUGAAUGCGCCUGCAGGUGAUCGUUGGCGCGAAGUAGCCGUUGCUCUACUGGUUCACCGGACAGUCCGGUGUACACCGGACAGUCCGGUGAAUUAUAGUGGAGCAGCCACUGCGUUUUCCCGAGGCUGGCGAGUUCCGGAGGCCGCUCUUCCUUGGAGCACCGGACAUUGUCCGGUGUACACCGGGCAGUCCGGUGAAUUAUAGCGGAGUGCCUCUGGAAAUUCCCGAAGGUGGCAAGUUCGAGUUGGAGUCCUCUGGUGCACCGGACAUUGUCCGGUGGUGCACCGGACACUGUCCGGUGCCCCAGACCAGAGGUGCCUUCGGUUGUCCCUUUUGCUCCUUUGUUGAAUCCAAUACUUGAUCUUUUUAUUGGCUAGGUGUGAACCUUUUACACCUGUAAAACUUAUACACUAGAGCAAACUAGUUAGUCCAAUUAUUUGUGUUGGACAAUUUAACCACCAAAAUUAUUUAGGAACUAGGUGUAAGCCUAAUUCCCUUUCAAUAUCAAUGUAAAAGGUGCUUCAAGUUUGGACAUAUAGAGAAGGGAUGCAAUGCAACUCAAGCUGAACUAGAGCAGGAGCUUCCACCACCUCGUCCAAAAAAACAAAAAAACAAAGGUCGGUAAUAUACUAGUAUUCCAUGCCUCGUGAUGCAAUCUGCUCCUUUACUGAUCCUAUUUAUGUCUUGUAGCAAAACCAAAUCCGAAGCUUAUGAAAACUCCACAAAAGGUGCUGAGCCAUCAAACAUUGAUGUUGAUCCAAAACUAACUUCAAGCCCAGGUGUUACGACAAGAAGGAUGGCGUUCCUCUCUCCGGCAAGAGCAAGUCCAUGUGUUACCACAAGGAGGAUGGCGUCCCUGUCUCCAACCAGUCCGGGUGUGACAACAAGAAGGAUCGCAUUUAUCUCACCUGGAGGAAUCAACCGCAGGCUUAUCAUUGAUUAGUUGUAUUAGUGCAAUGUUAGCAUGUACUGUAACUUAGUUUAUGGCAUGCUCCAUCGCUAGCUUUUGGGCAUUUGUCUAGUUACCAUGUGAACUAGGGUCUCUGUGAACUAUGAACAGCUUGUAGUCUUAUGCCAAGUCGUUAUGCAUGGACAAAAUUAGUAUUAUAUCAUAUUUUAAUGUGUUUAUGGCCUCUUUGAUCUGUUAUAUUCUACGUUGGAAGGGGCAAGGGCAUUUGUGUCCUAUUUAACUGUGAUUUAACGGAUGUGGUGAGCCUCAAAAGAAUGCAAUCUUUUAAUGGUAUACAGCAAAGAAGGGAUCUUUUAAUGGUAUAUUGCCAAACAUGUGUUCUUUUAAUGGUACACAGCCAAUUCUCCCUCUUUUGAGCUCUUGCGCUUGGAUUGCCUUUCUUCUUCCUCUAUUCUUGUGUUCAACUCACUUGUAAUCAAAACAAGAGACACCAAGUUGUGGUGGUCCUUGUAGUGGACUUAGUGUCCCAUUUGAUUGAAGAGAAAGGCUCACUCGGUCUAAGUGACCGUUUGAGAGAGGGAAAGGGUUGAAAGAGACCCGGUCCUUGUGACCACCUCAACGGGGAGUAGGUUUGCAAGAACCGAACCUCGGUAAAACAAAUCACCGUGUUCAUCCGCUUUAUUUCUUUGUUGAUUUGUUUUUCCUCUCUUUCGGACUCGAUUAUAUUUCUAACGCUAACCCCGGCUUGUAGUUGUGCUUAAACUUUAUAAAUUUCAGAUUUGCCUAUUCACCCCCCCUCUAGGAGACUUUCAAUUGGUAUCAGAGCCCGGUACUUCAUUAGAGCCUAACUGCUCGAAGUGAUGUCGGGAGCAUCCGCCAUGAGGGAGAUCGGGACCGGCGACAAGUCCGCAAGCUCGGGAAGAACACAUUCAAGGGAGUCCGCCCACAAGCACAAGGAGGAAUCCUCUUCCUCCAUCAAGUCCCAAUGGAAGGGUGACAAGAAGAAGAUGAUGAAGAAAGUGGUCUACUACGAGACCGACUCUUCGCCACCCUCCACCUCCGGCUCGAAAUCGGCAUCUGCCACUUCUAAGCGCCAUGAGCGCAAGAAGUAUAGUAAGAUGCCCCUUCGCUACCCUCGUAUGUCAAAACGCACUCCAUUACUUUUUGUCCCAUUAGGCAAACCACCUAUGUUUGAUGGUGAAGAUUAUUCUAUGUGGAGUGAUAAAAUGAGGCAUCACCUAACCUCACUCCACAAAAGCAUAUGGGAUAUUGUUGAGUAUGGAGCGCUGGUACCAAAGAAGGGGGACAAGGAUUACGAUUCGGAGGAGGUCGAACAAAUCCAACACUUCAACUCCCAAGCCACUACUAUACUCCUCGUCUCUCUAAGUCGAGAGGAGUAUAAUAAGGUGCAAGGGUUGAAGAGUGCAAAGGAGAUUUGGGACGUGCUCAAGACCGCGCACGAAGGAGACGAGGUGACCAAGAUCACCAAGAGGGAAACGAUCGAAGGGGAGCUCGGUCGCUUCAUGCUUCAUCAAGGGGAGGAGCCACAGGCAAUGUACAACCGGCUCAAGACCUUGGUGAACCAAGUGCGCAACCUCGGGAGCACCAAAUGGGAUGACCAUGAAAUGGUCAAGGUUAUUCUAAGAUCACUUGUAUUUCUUAAUCCUACUCAAGUUCAAUUAAUUCGUGGUGAUCCUAGACAUAAACUAUUGUCUCCCAAGGAAGUGAUAGGAAAAUUUGUGAGCUUUGAAUUGAUGAUCAAAGGCUCCAAGAAAAUCAUCGAGCAAGGCGCCACCUCAACACCCAAGGUGCAACCCGUCGCAUUCAAGGCGACGGAAGAAGAAAAGAAGGACUCUACACCAAGUAGGAUCCCCAUCGACGCCUCCAAGCUCGACAACGAGGAAAUGGCGCUCAUCAUCAAGAGCUUUCGCCAAAUCCUCAAGCAAAGGAAGGGAAGAGAUUACAAGCCCCGUUCCAAGAAGGUUUGCUACAAGUGUGGUAAGCCCGGUCAAUUUAUAGCAAAUAUCCUAUUUCUAGUGACAGGGGCGACGACAAAAAGGGAAGAAGGAAGGAGAAGAAGAAGUAUUACAAGAAGAAGGGCGGCGAUGCCCAUGUUUGCCGGGAGUGGGACUCCGACGAGAGCUCCACCGACUCCUCCGACGAGGACGCCGCAAACAUCACCGUCAACAAGGGUCUUCUCUUCCCCAACGUCGGCCACAAGUGCCUCAUGGCAAAAGACGACAAGAAGAAGAAGGUAAAAUCAAGAUCCUCCACUAAGUAUACAACUACUAGUGAUGAUGAUAAUUCUAGUGAUGAUGAGGAUAACUUGCUUACUCUUUUUGCCAAUCUUAACAUGCAACAAAAAGAAAAAUUAAAUGAAUUGAUUAGUGCUAUUCAUGAGAAGGAUGAACUCUUGGAUAGCCAAGAGGACUUCCUAAUUAAAGAAAAUAAAAAGCAUGUUAAGGUUAAAAAUGCUUAUGCUCUAGAGGUAGAAAAAUGUGAAAAAAUAACUAGUGAGCUAAGUUCUUGUCAUGAUACUAUUUCCAACCUUAGGAAUGAAAAUGAGAAAUUAAUUGCUAAGGUUGAGAGUUCAAAUGUUUGUGAUGAUUCAAUUGUUAGUCUUAAGAAUGAUAAUGCUAAAUUAAUUGCUAAGAUUGACAAAUUGGAUGCAUCCCCCUCUAGCCUUAAAAUUGAGAAUGAAAAAUUAAUUGCUAAGGCUAAAGAUUUAAACGUUUGCAAUGUUUCUAUUUCUAAUCUUAGAGAUGAAAAUGCUAUUUUACAUGCUAAGAUUGUUGAAUUAAAUGCUUGCAAACCCUCUACAUCUACCAUUGAGCAUGUUACUAUUUGUACUAGAUGUAGAGAUAUUAAUAUUGAUGCUAUUCAUGAUCACCUAGCUUUAAUUAAACAACAAAAUGAUCACAUAGCUCAACUUAGUGCUAAGAUUAAUGAGCAUGACUUAGAAAAUGAAAAAUUUAAAUUUGCUAGAAGCAUGCUCUAUAGUGGGAGACGCCUUGACAUUAAGGAUGGCAUCGACUUCCAACAGGGAGACAAUGUCAAGCUUAAUGCUCCUCCUAAAAGAUUGUCUAAUUUUGUUAAGGGCAAAGCUCCCAUGCCUCAGGAUAACGAGGGCUAUAUUUUAUAUCCUGCUGGUUAUCCUGAGGAUAAGAUUAGGAGAAUUCAUGCAAAGAAGACUCAUUCUCACCAUGCUUUUAUUUAUAAGAAUGAGGCUUCUAGCUCUAGGCGUUCCACACAUGUUAAAAUGCCUAAGAAGAAAACUCCUAUUGCAUCAAAUGAUCAUAACAUUUCAUUCAAGACUUUUGAUGCUUCCUAUGUGCUCACUAACAAAUCAGGCAAAGUAGUUGCCAAAUAUGUUGGGGGUAAACACAAGGGGUCAAAGACUUGUGUUUGGGUACCCAAGGUGUUUGUUUCUAAUGUAAAAGGACCCAAGACUGUUUGGGUACCUAAGAACAAGGCCUAAAUUUGUUUUGUAGGUUUAUGCAUCCGGGGGCUCAAGUUGGAUUAUUGAUAGCGGGUGCACAAACCACAUGACUGGGGAGAAAAGAAUGUUCUCCUCCUACGAGAAAAACCAUGAUCCCCAAAGAGCUAUCACAUUCGGGGAUGGAAAUCAAGGUUUGGUCAAAGGACUUGGUAAAAUUGCUAUAUCACCUGACCAUUCUAUUUCCAAUGUUUUUCUUGUAGAUUCUUUAGAUUACAAUUUGCUUUCUGUUUCUUAAUUAUGUAAAAUGGGCUACAACGGUCUUUUUACAGAUUUAGGUGUUACUGUCUUUAGAAGAAGUGAUGAUUCAGUAGCAUUUAAGGGAGUGUUAGAGGGUCAGCUAUACUUAGUUGAUUUUAAUAGAGCUAAACUCGACACUUGCUUAAUUGCGAAGACUAACAUGGGUUGGCUCUGGCAUCGCCGACUAGCCCAUGUUGGAAUGAAGAAUCUUCAUAAGCUUCUAAAGGGAGAGCACAUUUUGGGACUAACCAAUGUUUAUUUUGAGAAAGAUAGGGUUUGUAGCGCAUGUCAAGCAGGGAAGCAAGUUGGUGUUCAUCAUCCACACAAGAACAUCAUGACGACUGACAGGCCGUUUGAGGUACUCCACAUGGACCUAUUCGGCCCGAUCGCUUACAUAAGCAUCGGCGGGAGUAAGUACUGUCUAGUUAUUGUGGAUGAUUAUGCUCGCUUCACUUGGGUGUUCUGUGUGCAGGAAAAAUCUCAAACCCAAGAGACCUUAAAGGGAUUCUUGAGAUGGGCUCAAAAUGAGUUCGGCUUAAGGAUAAAAAAGAUUAGAAGCGACAACGGAACGGAGUUCAAGAACUCACAAAUAGAAGGCUUUCUUGAGGAGGAGGGCAUCAAGCAUGAGUUCUCUUCUCCCUACACGCCACAACAAAAUGGUGUAGUGGAGAGGAAGAAUAGAACUCUUUUGGACAUGGCGAGGACCAUGCUUGAUGAGUACAAGACUUCGGACCGGUUUUGGGCGGAAGCAAUCAACACUGCUUGCUACGCUAUCAACCGCCUCUACCUUCACCGAAUCCUCAAGAAGACAUCUUAUGAACUCCUAACCGGUAGAAAGCCCAAUGUUUCAUAUUUUAGAGUCUUUGGUAGUAAAUGCUUUAUUCUUGUUAAAAGAGGUAGAAAAUAUAAAUUUGCUCCUAAGGUUGUAGAAGGCUUUUUACAUGGUUAUGAUUCAAACACAAGGGCAUAUAGAGUCUUUAACAAGUCCUCUGGACUAGUUGAAGUUUCUGAUGACAUUGUGUUUGAUGAGACUAACGGCUCUCAAGUAGAGCAAGUUGAUCUUGAUGAGCUAGAUGAUGAAGAGGCUCUGAGCGUCGCGCUAAGGAACAUGUCCAUUGGGGAUGUGUGUCCUAAGGAAUCCGAAGAGCCUCCACAAGCACAAGAUCAACCAUCUUCCUCCAUGCAAGCAUCUCCACCAACUCAAGAUGAGGAUCAAGCUCAAGAUGAUGAAAAUGAAGAUCAAGAGGAGCCACCUCAAGAGGAGGACAAUGAUCAAGGGGGAGAUGCUAAUGACCAAGACAAGGAAGAUGAUGACGGUUCAAGACAGCCACACCCAAGAGUCCACCAAGCAAUACAACUAGAUCACCCCGUGAACUCCAUCCUCGGCGAUAUUCAUAAGGGGGUAACCACUCGAUCUCGUGUUGCUCAUUUUUGUGAACAUUACUCCUUUGUGUCUUCUAUUGAGCCAUACAGGGUGGAAGACGCAUUAAGAGAUUCGGAUUGGGUGUUGGCGAUGUAAGAGGAGCUCAACAACUUCAAGAGGAAUGAGGUAUGGCAUUUAGUUCCACAUCCUAACCAAAAUGUUGUAGGAACCAAGUGGGUCUUCCGCAACAAGAAAGAUGAGCAUGGUGUGGUGACAAGGAACAAAGCCCGACUUGUGGCCAAGGGAUAUUCACAAGUCGAAGGUUUGGAUUUCGGUGAAACCUAUGCACCCAUAGCUAGGCUUGAGUCAAUUUGCAUUUUACUUGCCUAUGCUACUUACCAUGGCUUCAAGCUUUAUCAAAUGGACGUGAAGAGUGCCUUCCUCAAUGGACCAAUCAAGGAGGAAGUCUAUGUUGAGCAACCUCCCGGCUUUGAAGAUAGUGAGUAACCUAACCAUGUGUAUAAACUCUCUAAGGCGCUUUAUGGGCUCAAGCAAGCCCCAAGAGCAUGGUAUGAAUGCCUAAGAGAUUUUCUUAUAGCUAAUGGCUUCAAAGUCGGAAAAGCCGAUCCUACUCUCUUUACUAAAACAAUUGCUAAUGAUUUGUUUGUAUGCCAAAUUUAUGCUGAUGAUAUUAUAUUUGGGUCUACUAACAAAUCUACUUGUGAAGAGUUUAGUAGGAUAAUGGUUCAAAAAUUCGAGAUGUCAAUGAUGGGAGAGUUGAAGUAUUUCUUAGGAUUUCAAGUCAAGCAACUCCAAGAAGGCACCUUCAUUAGUCAAACGAAGUACAUUCAAGACAUACUCACCAAGUUUGGAAUGAAGGAUGCCAAACCCAUCAAGACACCCAUGAGAACCAAUGGGCAUAUCGACCUCGACACGGGAGGUAAAUCCGUAGAUCAAAAGGUAUACCGGUCGAUGAUAGGUUCUUUACUCUAUUUAUGUGCUUCACGACCGAAUAUUAUGCUUUCUGUAUGCAUGUGUGCAAGAUUCCAAGCCGAUCCAAAGGAAGUUCACCUUAGGGCCGUGAAACGAAUCUUGAGAUAUUUAGUUUAUACUCCUAAGUUUGGCAUUUGGUACCCCAGGAGAUCCACUUUUGAUUUAAUUGGUUAUUCAGAUGCUGAUUGGGCAGGGUGUAAGAUUGAUAGAAAGAGCACAUUAGGGACUUGGCAGUUCUUAGGAAGAUCUCUGGUGUCUUGGGCUUCUAAGAAACAAAAUUCUGUAGCUCUUUCUACCGUCGAAGCCGAGUAUAUUGUCGUAGGCCAUUGUUGCGCGCAAUUGCUUUGGAUGAGGCAAACCCUUAGGGACUAUGGUUACAAAUUAACCAAAGUUCCUCUCCUAUGUGAUAAUGAGAGUGCAAUCCGCAUGGUGGAUAAUCCCGUUGAGCACAGCCGCACUAAGCACAUAGCCAUUCGGUAUCACUUUUUGAGGGAUCACCAACAACGGGGAGAUAUCGAGAUUGCUUACAUUAAAACCAAAGAUCAAUUAGCCGAUAUCUUUACCAAGCCAUUAGAUGAGAAUUUUUUUACCAAACUUAGGCAUGAGCUAAAUAUUCUUGAUUCUAGGAAUUUUGAUUGAUAUUUUGCACACAUAGCUCAUUUAUAUACCUUGAUCAUAUCUCUUUCAUGUUCUAUGACUAAUGUGUUUUCAAGUGAAUAUUAUGCUAAGUCAUAGAUUGAAAGGGAAAUGGAGUCCUCGGCGAAGACAAAAGGCUUCCACUCCACUCUAUCGAUAUUCAUCCUUCACUGUCGCUCCACAACGCUCUCCAAUUUGGUAUAAUCUUCACUCCUAUAUUAUUUACCAAAGGGGGAGAAAGUUUGAAAAAAGGCUUAUAUUUCACUCACAAGUAUUCGUUUUUGGCGAUUCAUGCCAAAGGGGGAGAAAAUAUUAGCCCAAAGCAAAAGGGUCGCACCACCACCAAUUUCAAAAAUUUGUAGUCUUUUAAUUUGUAUUAAAGAAGUGUUUUUAAAGAUUUUCAAAUUGGUAUCUUAUUUUUGAUAUAAUUUCAAAUUGGUAUACCCUCUUCAAAAUUAAUAUCUAAAACCCUCUUGAACACUAAGAGGAGGAUUUCAUUAAGGGGGAGUUUCGUUUAGUUAAAGGAAAAGCAUUUGAAAUAGGGGGAGAAAAUUUCAAAUCUUGAAAAUGCUUCUCAAAAUCUUAUUCAUAUACCUUUGACUAUUUGUAAAAGAUUUUGAAAAAGAAUUUCCAAAACUUUGCAAAACAAAACAAGUGGUGCAAGCGUGGUCCAAAAUUUUAAUAAGAUGAAAGCCAUCCAUGCAUAUCUAGUAGAAAUAAUUAUUGGUUUUAUUCCAAGCAACCUUUGCACUUACCUUAUGCAAACUAGUUCAAUUCUGCACUUUUAUAUUUGCUUUGGUUUGUGUUGGCAUCAAUCACCAAAAAGGGGGAUAUUGAAAGGGAAAUAGGCUUACACCUUUUCCUAUAUGAAUUUUGGUGGUUGAAUUGUCCAACACAAAUUAAUUGGACUAACUAGUUUGCUCUAGAUUAUGAGUUCUACAGGUGCCAAAGGUUCAACACAAAUCAAUAAAAGUCCAAGAAAGGGUUCAAAUAAAAAGAGCAAAAGACAACCCAAAGGCUGCCCUGGUCUGGCGCACCGGACAGUGUUCGGUGCACCAGAGAGUUCCACUCCGAACUUGCCACUUUCGGGAAUUAGGGGAGGCCGCUCCGCUAUAAUUCACCGGACUGUCCGGUGUAGCACCGGACUGUCCUGUGUGUCAAGCGGAGCAACGGUCGUCCACGCCAACGGUCGUCUGCAACGCUACAGUGAAACACUAUAGUGCGCGUCUGUGCGCAGAAGUCAGAGCAGACGCAGAAGGCGCACCGGACAAUGAAUAGUGACUGUCCAGUGCACCACCGGACUGUCCGGUGGCCCCGUUGUCAGAAGCUCCAACUGUCGGAACCCAACGGCCUGGUGACGUGGCUGGCGCACCGAGCAAUGUCCGGUGGCGCACCGGACUGUCCGGUGCGCCAUACGACAGAGGCCCUCACCAACGGUUCUUUUGGUGGUUGGGGCUAUAAAUACCCCCAACCACCACACUUCAAUGCAUCCAAAUUUUCAGCCUUCAAACCUCAUACAAGAGCUCUAGACUUCAUUCCAAGACACAAACAAAGAGAUCAAAUCCCCUCCCAAGUCCGGAAUCACUCCAAACAAAUUAGUGAUUAGAGAGAGAGACUUUUGUGUUCUUUUGAGAUCUUGCGCUUGGAUUGCUUUUCUUCUUCCUCUAUUCUUGUGUUCAACUCACUUGUAAUCAAAACAAGAGACACCAAGUUGUGGUGGUCCUUGUAGUGGACUUAGUGUCCCAUUUGAUUGAAGAGAAAGGCUCACUCGGUCUAAGUGACCGUUUGAGAGAGGGAAAGGGUUGAAAGAGACCCGGUCUUUGUGACCACCUCAACGGGGAGUAGGUUUGCAAGAACCGAACCUCGGUAAAACAAAUCACCGUGUUCAUCCGCUUUAUUUCUUUGUUGAUUUGUUUUUCCUCUCUUUCGGACUCGAUUAUAUUUCUAACGCUAACCUCGACUUGUAGUUGUGCUUAAACUUUAUAAAUUUCAGAUUUGCCUAUUCACCCACCUCUAGGCGAAUUUCAAAGACGCACACGGAAGGUCUUGAUAAUGACUUGCAGGUGACGAAUGAAAAGAUGGGGCAAUUGGAGGCCAUACAGAUCGACACAAACACCAAACUUGCAAAUGUGGAAAUGACAGUUGCUCAUAUUGACAAGAGCCUUGUCGCACUCUUGAGGCAAUUUGAUGAGAUGCAUGCUAAUACCAAUGGUGGGCGUGAUGAGGGCGCCGAAGGUAACUGGGAUGACUAUGUUGCUGAUACUGAACAAGAUGACCAAGAAGCACCUAAUCGCCGGCGACUAUGUACUAACCGCAGAGGUAUGGGUGGUUUUCACCGACGUGAGGUACAUGGUAAUGAUGAUGCUUUUAGUAAGGUUAAAUUUAAAAUACCUCCUUUUGAUGGUAAAUAUGACCCUGAUGCUUACAUUACUUGGGAGAUUGCGGUUGAUCAAAAGUUCGCAUGUCAUGAAUUUCCUGAGAAUGCGUGGGUUAGAGCUGCUACUAGUGAGUUUACUGAAUUUGCUUCUGUUUGGUGGAUAGAACACGGUAAGAAGAAUCCUACUAACAUGCCACAAACUUGGGAUGCGUUGAAAUGGGUCAUGCGGGCUAGAUUUGUUCCUUCUUAUUAUGCACGUGAUAUGUUAAACAAGCUGCAACAAUUGAGACAGGGUACUAAAAGUGUAGAAGACCAUUAUCAGGAAUUACAAAUGGGUAUGUUGCGUUGUAACAUAGAGGAGAGUGAGGAAUCUGCUAUGGCUAGAUUUUUGGGCGGGUUAAAUAGGGAAAUUCAGGAUAUCCUUGCUUAUAAAGAUUAUGCUAACGUAACUCGAUUGUUUCAUCUUGCUUUCAAAGCUGAAAGGGAAGUGCAGGGACGACGUGCUAGUGCAAGGUCUAAUGUUUAUGCAGGAAAAUCUACACCAUGGCAGCAGCGCACGACUACGUCCAUGACCGGCCGUCACCAGCACCAACUCCCUCGCCGAGUCGACCAGCACCACCGCCUUCCUUCGGCGACAAUCCACGUGCAUCUUCCACAAAUUCAGCAACCAAAUCUGCCCAGAAACCAGCAGGUAGUGCCUCUUCAGUAGCCUCCACGGGUAGAACAAGAGAUGUUCUAUGUUAUCGAUGCAAGGGCUAUGGACACAUGCAGCGUGAUUGUCCUAAUCAGUGUGUUUUGGUGGUAAAAUACGAUGGUGGGUAUUCCUCUGCUAGUGAUUUGGAUGAAGCUACACUUGCUUUGCUUGUGGCUGAUGAUGCAGGCACUAAGGAACCACCCGAAGAAUAGAUUGGUGCAAAUGAUGCAGAGCAUUAUGAGAGCCUCAUUGUACAGCGUGUGCUUAGUGCACAAAUGGAGAAGGCAGAGCAGAAUCAGUGACAUACGUUGUUUCAAACAAAGUGUGUCAUUAAGAAGCGUUCAUGUCGUUUGAUCAUUGAUGGAGGUAGCUGCAACAACUUGGCUAGCAGCGACAUGGUGGAGAAGCUUGCACUUACGACCAAACCGCACCCGCAUCCAUAUCACAUUCAAUGGCUUAACAAUAGUGGUAAGGUCAAGGUAACCAAGCUGGUACAAAUUAAGUUUGCUAUUGGUUCAUAUCAUGAUGUUGUUGACUGUGACGUUGUGCCUAUGGAUGCUUGUAAUAUUCUGCUAGGUAGACCAUGGCAAUUUGAUUCAGAUUGUAUGCAUCAUGGCAGAUCAAAUCAAUAUUCUCUCAUACACCAUGAUAAGAAAAUUAUUUUGCUUCCCAUGUCCCCUGAGGCUAUUGUGCGUGAUGAUGUUGCUAAAGCUACCAAAGCUAAAACUGAGAACAACAAGAAUAUUAAAGCUGUUGGUAAUAACAAAGAUGGGAUAAAAUUGAAAGGACAUUGCUUGCUUGCGACCAAAUCUGAUGUUAAUGAAUUAUUUGCUUCCACUUCUGUUGCCUACGCCUUGGUAUGCAAGGAUGCUUUGAUUUCAAUUCAAGAUAUGCAACAUUCUUUGCCUCCUGUUGUUGCUAACAUUUUGCAGGAGUAUUCUGAUGUAUUUCCAAGUGAGAUACCAGAGGGGCUGCCACCUAUAUGAGAGAUUGAGCACCAAAUUGAUCUUAUUCCUGGUGCAUCUUUGCCAAAUCGUGCGCCAUAUAGGACAAAUCCGGAGGAAACAAAAGAAACUCAGCGACAAGUGCAAGAACUACUCGACAAAGGUUACGUGCAUGAGUCUCUUAGUCCGUGUGCUGUUCCGGUUAUUUUAGUGCCUAAAAAAGAUGGAACAUGGCGUAUGUGUGUUGAUUGUAGAGCUAUUAAUAAUAUCACGAUACGGUAUCGACACCCUAUUCCACGUUUAGAUGAUAUGCUUGAUGAAUUGAGUGGUGCUAACGUGUUUUCUAAAGUUGAUUUGCGUAGUGGGUACCACCAGAUUCGUAUGAAAUUGGGAGAUGAAUGGAAAACUGCUUUCAAAACUAAGUUCGGAUUGUAUGAGUGGUGAGUCAUGCCUUUCGGGUUAACUAAUGCACCUAGCACAUUCAUGAGAUUAAUGAACGAAGUUUUGCAUGCCUUCAUUGGAAAAAUUGUGGUAGUAUACUUUGAUGACAUAUUGAUCUACAACAAAUCUAUGGAUGAACAUGUUGAUCACAUGCGUGCUGUUUUUAAUGCUUUACGAGAUGCACGUUUAUUUGGUAACCUUGAGAAGUGCACAUUUUGCACCGAUCGAGUGUCGUUUCUUGGUUAUGUUGUGACUCCACAGGGAAUUGAGGUUGAUCAAGCCAAGGUAGAAGCGAUACAUGGAUGGCCUAUGCCAAAGACUAUCACACAGGUGCGGAGUUUCCUAGGACUUGCUGGCUUCUAUCGCCAUUUUGUGAAGGACUUUAGUACCAUUGCUGCACCUUUGAAUGAGCUUACGAAGAAGGGAGUGCAUUUUAGUUGGGGCAAAGUACAACAGCACUCUUUCAACGUGCUGAAAGAUAAGUUGACACAUGCACCUUUCCUCCAACUUCCUGAUUUUAAUAAGACUUUUAAGCUUGAAUGUGAUGCUAGUGGAAUUGGAUUGGGUGGUGUUUUGUUACAAGAAGGCAAACCUGUUGCAUAUUGUAGUGAAAAAUUGAGUGGACCCGUUCUAAAUUAUUCUACUUAUGAUAAGGAAUUAUAUGCUCUUGUGCGAACAUUAGUAACAUGGCAGCAUUAUUUAUGGCCCAAAGAGUUUGUUAUUCAUUCUGAUCAUGAAUCUUUGAAACGUAUUCGUAGUCAAGGAAAACUGAACCGUAGACAUGCUAAGUGGGUUGAAUUUAUCGAAUCUUUUCCUUAUGUUAUUAAGCAUAAGAAAGGAAAAGAGAAUAUUAUUGCUGACGCUUUGUCUAGGAGAUAUACUUUGCUGAAUCAAUUUGACUACAAAAUCUUUGGAUUAGAGACAAUUAAAGACCAAUAUGUUCAUGAUGCUGAUUUUAAAGAUGUGUUGCUGCAUUGUAAAGAUGGGAAAGGAUGGAACAAAUAUAUUGUUAGUGAUGGGUUUGUGUUUAGAACUAACAAGCUAUGCAUUCCAGCUAGCUCCGUUCGUUUGUUGUUGUUAUAGGAAGCACAUUGAGGUGGCUUAAUGGGACAUUUUGGAGCAAAUAAAAUGGAGGACAUACUUGCUGGUCAUUUCUUUUGGUCCAAGAUGAGAAGAGAUGUGGCGAGAUUGGUUGCUCGUUGCACGACAUGUCAAAAGGCGAAGUCACGGUUAAAUCCACACGGUUUGUAUUUGCCUCUACCCGUUCCUAGUGCUCCUUGGGAAGAUAUUUCUAUGGAUUUUGUGUUGGGAUUGCCUAGUACUAGGAAGGGACGUGAUAGUGUGUUGUUUGUGGUUGUUGAUAGAUUUUCUAAGAUGGCACAUUUCAUACCAUGUCAUAAAACUGACGAUGCUACUCAUAUUGCUGAUUUGUUCUUUCGUGAAAUUGUUCGCUUGAAUGGUGUGCCCAACACAAUCGUUUCUGAUCGUGAUGCUAAAUUUCUUAGUCAUUUUUGGAGGACUUUGUGGGCAAAAUUGGGGACUAAGCUUUUAUUUUCUACUACAUGUCAUCCCCAAACUGAUGGUCAAACUGAAGUUGUGAAUAGAACUUUGUCUACUAUGUUAAGGGUUGUUCUAAAGAAGAAUAUUAAGAUGUGGGAGGACUGUUUGCCUCAUGUUGAAUUUGCUUAUAAUCGAUCAUUGGAUUCUACUACAAAGAUGUGCCCAUUUUAGAUUGUAUAUGGUUUGUUGCCUCGUGCUCCUAUUGAUUUAAUGCCUUUGCCAUCUUCUGAAAAACUAAACUUUGAUGCUACUAGGCGUGCUGAAUUGAUGUUAAAACUGCAUGAAUGCUAGAUAUAAGUUUGCUAGUGAUAAAGGUAGAAAGGAAUUAAAUUUUGAACCUGGAGAUUUAGUUUGGUUGCAUUUGAGAAAGGAAAGGUUUCCUGAAUUGCGAAAAUCUAAAUUGUUGCCUCGAGCCGAUGGACCGUUUAAAGUGCUAGAGAAAAUUAACGACAAUGCAUAUACGCUAGAUCUGCCUACAGACUUUGGGGUUAGCCCCACAUUUAACAUUGCAGAUUUAAAGCCCUACUUGGGAGAGGAAGUUGAGCUUGAGUCGAGGACGACUCAAAUGCAAGAAGGGGAGAAUGAUGAAGACAUCCACACUACUGAUACAUCUAUGCUAAUACAAGUACCAAUUUCUGGUCCCAUUACUCGCGCUCGUGCUCGUCAACUCAACCAUCAGGUGAUUACACUCUUGAGUUCAUGUCCAUCAUAUUUAGACCAUGGAGACCCAUGCACUCUUGUUUUGCUUAGGAACCAGGGAGAAGACCGAAAGGGAAAAGGAUUUGAACAUGCUGGAUUCGGACUGCAGAAGAACACCAACUUGUAACGGUCACCACGGUCACAUGCGGGCUCGGAUUGGAAUGUUCAAGCACAACAUGGAAAGCUUAUCAAGUCUACUUUCAUAUGGAUCCGUAAUUAUAGUCAUAUCUAUUCUGAGGCCGCUAUAAUCAUUGUUUCCUUACCGAGACAUUUCCUGCCUUUUCUGCCCAUGGUGCUGCGUCACCCUAUUUUGGCCCAAUGGGUCGUGUAUCAAGUUGGGUCCAUUAGGGUCGCAUCCUAGGGUUGCAGCACGGCCCCAAUACCCUUGUGGUCAUCCUCCCAUGUUUAUAAACCCCCUAGCCGCCACCAAGAACAACGGGUUUUGUUUAGAUCAAGUUUAGCUCUCGCUACUUGCUUGUAAGCGCGCGUGCUGGUUCAGCCGCCCGUCUUCUUGUCUUCGGAACCCCACCAUAUUGGAGUUUGAUUGUUAAACCUACAUUUACAUCUGGUAAUUCAGUACUUGUCCUACUUGUUCUUGCUAGUUCUUCGAUUGCUUGCAGGACAAGUGCCCUAGUGGCCGCGGUGUCACGCUCCACAAGAUCGUGACAGCCAUAGGAGGUGGUGUAUCGGUUGCUAAGGCGCAACGUCUUUGGAAGACUGUAGUCGGGCCGUGAACGUCGUCUCCUCCACCAAUCGAGUUAUCCCACACCCUCUCAUCGAAAGAUCGAGCAUUCACCCAAUGGGUGCACAUCACCUUAACUCUACCUCCUCCACAACAAGAGACAUGGGAGCCUCUCCUCCCUCUCUUGCUCGCUUGUAACCCCUAAUACAAGCAUUGAUUAGCAAAGGUGGCGGUAGCGCAAGCCGCCAAAGACUGGAUGUAGGGACGUUCUGCCUAAAUCAGUAUAAAUCUUGCGCCCACCGUGCACACCGUCUGAAGCCCGGAAUGCACACACAAAUAUACUUGUCAGAGCUAGGUUCGAAACAUCGAUAGAUAGCGCCUUGGUUUGAGUCGGUUGGACUAACUACAACAUGAGGUUGUUGGUGCAACAUGUCUUUUGGCUUAUUGUGCGCAGGUGUGGAGUCUAAAGACAGUGGUCGACGAUGAAGGUGAAGGUCAUGCAGGUUCGUAUCGAUGGACUGAGAGCGGCGAAGGACGAGCACUGAGUCUUAAACGAGAGACUAAAGAAGUUGAAUGGCUAGCCAUGGUGGAUGACACCUGGGGACACUAAUAGGCACGAGGUCAUGGAGGAGCAGAUCGUGUCGCCAACGUAGUUGUGGACUGACAGGACACGAGUCCAGGACGUGGGGGACGCGUAUGGAGUACACUACCUGCGGGGUUUGGUGGUUGAGCCUCAAAACCACCCAACACGAUAGUUCACGGGUUUGGACCUCAAAACCCAGUGGCAUAGUUUCUGAAGGGAAUCAGAGGUUGUACGUGGUGUCACCGUGAAGGAUUCGUCAAUGCAAAGCAAUUUCGUGAAGACUGCAUGGCCAUUAGAUCAAAGUUCCAAGAGUUAGUCCAUUUCACUUCUGGCUGAGUGAAUAGACUCUAUAUAUUUUGGGAUAGUUUAGGAAAGAGAAAUAACCCUCUAUAAAUAGGAGGGGAGGGCUGAACCAUUCAGCCAUCUCUUUUAGCACUUACAUUUCCCUUGGUUUGUAAUCUUUCUCUCUCAUUUUAGCUAGGUGAUCCUUAGAUGUUUUUGAACCACGACAUCUAAGUCUAUUUAUUUUUGAGGAAGUGUGGCCGUAACCACACUUAGUUCUCGUGGUGUUUCAUUUUGUGUCAAAGUUGUUGGUAUUGGAUUUUUAGUUGCUUAUUCUCUUCUCAACCCCUCUAGUUUGAUUUUUUAGUAGAUCCUUGCCUUUGAGAGAGGUUUGGGGGAUAAUAUCUGGAUUAGAAAUUGUCCUCGUAUUAUUGCAAAUUUUUUGAUCCAUUUCGUGGACAUGUUUCUAAUAGAUUUGCUUAUUUGACAAAACCCCAACUAAAACUAAGUCAAGUUCGGGUUUUUUGAUAUGCUAUUGAAGUUUAAACCCGUUUGAGCUCAAAUUUUGUGGACACCUUAGAAAAUCAUCUGUAAAGGUGUGAAAAUUUUCAGCCCCGUCGAAGUCCAUUUCUUUUGAUUUUGUGUUCGAAAAUUGAAUUUCGAGCUGUUGAAAACAACAUUAGAAAGCGCUAUGGUUUUGGGCCAUUUCGAACUUUUUGGUGUUUGUUUUGUGAUCCGUUUGAUUCGUUGGUCUUGUGUGAGUCCUAUGAACAUGAUUAAAACAUGAAAUCACUGGUUUGUUGAUGUGUUUUUUGGUUUGAACAAUUUCUUUAUUUCCAUUGAAAUUAAAUACUUAAUUUUAAGUUUUGAAAGACUAAAUUUUGUUGAGUCUCAUUCACCCUCUUUGGUCGCCUAUUCAAUCAUUCAAUCCAGAGGGUCACAAUUUCUAUUAAGCGGCACUCUGUGACCCCAUGCAAUGAUCAUAGAAUACAGUGGCAAGUGUGGUUAGGGUGCCUAGUUAGGUUUUGUUCGGUUGGGUCUGGAUUGAGGGGAAUUGAAGGGGAUUAAAUCUCCUCCUAGUCAAAAUUGAAUGGAAGGAGAUUUAAUCAUCUCCAAUCCAUAACUAAUCGAACAAGCCCAUAGGCGUAGUUUGGAUACUUUAGUAUUGACUUCAAUCCACAUGUCCUGAGGUGGAUUGGAGUGUAAUUUAAACUAAUUUACACCUCAAUCAAAUUUAACAUGUGGAUUGUGAUGAAUACUAUAGUACCAAACAAAGCAUUAGGGUUUCUAUUCGUGUAUACCCCUAAUUAGUUGGUAUGCUGCCUUCUAGUAAGGGGUAAAAAAGGGAUUCAAAAAAUACAGAAGCAAAAACAAUAAUUUAUUCUCAUUUUCACUCCCGCAAUAUACCAUUCCCGAAUGAAAGAAAAAACAAAUUCCUUUCUUUUUUAUCCCUACUAACGGCCGACCAUCGGAUUUGGUCUCCACCUCAAGUCUCUGCGAGAGUUCCUGCCAUCCUCUCAAACUUACGGACACAACACCUAUAAAAAUUCUUCACCGUCGCCCUUCGCAACUCACCCCACAAAGCAAUAACCCGGCCCUCUCCUUUCGUCACCAUCACAUCCAGCCAGCCAACAAAAAUGUCGCGCGUCACAGCUGCGGUGCUCUUUUACAUCCUCGCCGUUGCUGCCCUCAGCGCGGCCGAGGCCCCGGCAGAGUCACCGAAGGAAGGCAGUGCUGCCAAGGCACCUGAGGCUGCCAAGAGAACUGCUGCCCCCGCUGAAGCACCCGGAGCCGCGUCCACCCCCGUCGCCGCCGCUGCCCCAUCAUCGUCGUCUAGGAAGUCUGGUCCAGCUACCGCGCCAGCCACCGCCUCUACACCCCCUUCUUCCACGGACGAGGAGUUGAGCCCUUCCCCGCCAGCAUCCACCGCCGCGGCGUCCCCUGCGGCUGAGGGACCGGCUGCUGAUGACUCCGCCGGUGCUGCUGCCCUUGGAAGUGGAGCUGCCAUCGCCGGCGUUGCCGCUGCUGUUGCUACCAUGAUCUUCUUCUACUAAACUCACCGACGAUGGUCGUGUCGCGGUGAGACAUUAGGGUGGACACGUAAUUGGCUGUGCUGUAAUCGCUCUCGUCUGGUGGGGAGGGAGGGACCAAGUGUUUCUUUGCUUUGCUCACUUCGUUUGCUCUUGUAACAUUAUGGGGUCAACCGUUAUGUAACUAAUGGAUUUGAUUAAUCUGGUCUCUAACUCUCUAUCUGUCUAUCAUGCAUGUUUAUAUUCUAAUAUCUUACUGAUUUUACAUGUUUGCUUAACCGGAUCUUUAUAUCAUAAACAA
rnacentral:lncRNA from 1 species